AUUGAACGCUGGCGGCAGGCUUAACACAUGCAAGUCGAGCGGAGAUGAGGUGCUUGCACCUUAUCUUAGCGGCGGACGGGUGAGUAAUGCUUAGGAAUCUGCCUAUUAGUGGGGGACAACAUUCCGAAAGGAAUGCUAAUACCGCAUACGUCCUACGGGAGAAAGCAGGGGAUCUUCGGACCUUGCCCUAAUAGAUGAGCCUAAGUCGGAUUAGCUAGUUGGUGGGGUAAAGGCCUACCAAGGCGACGAUCUGUAGCGGGUCUGAGAGGAUGAUCCGCCACACUGGGACUGAGACACGGCCCAGACUCCUACGGGAGGCAGCAGUGGGGAAUAUUGGACAAUGGGGGGAACCCUGAUCUAGCCAUGCCGCGUGCGUGAAGAAGGCCUUAUGGUUGUAAAGCACUUUAAGCGAGGAGGAGGCUACUGAGACUAAUACUCUUGGAUAGUGGACGUUACUCGCAGAAUAAGCACCGGCUAACUCUGUGCCAGCCGCCGCCGUAAGAC
rnacentral:rRNA from 1 species